UUUGACCGCUGACGGCUUCAUUUGUUUUGGUCGGUGUUAGGUCUUCCCCUCCAGCCUCGGACGAAGCCUAUCAGUUGGAAUUCUCUAAAAUAGUAACCCCACACCGGAAUUCCUUCUUCUGUGCUUCCUGGAGGCCCGACCAACGCCAGCGUUAUUUUGCGGACGUCUAUGUUCCACUCUCCGGGUGUUAGUGCUGUUGUCCGAGGGAGGGGUUAGUAUAAACGUAUCUUAAUUCUAUAGUUAGUAAUAUUGUUAUUUCACUACUGAUCUAUUUGUAUUCUAUUACAUGGCAGUUAGAAGUGCAUUCUAACUGCUAUCACAGCCUGUUGACGAUGAGCUUCGAGUGGCACAUCUUCUGCCCGACUUUGACCGCUGACGGCUUCAUUUGUUUUGGUCGGUGUUAGGUCUUCCCCUCCAGCCUCGGACGAAGCCCAUCAGUUGGAAUUCUCUAAAAUAGGUAAAUUACUAUUAGGAUUUGAACUCGGGUACCUUGGAUUUGUAGCCGUAUACUAUAUCCACGUCGCCACCGUAGUCAUAUAAUAUUUAUAUUCUAGAACUCAUACUUAAGGUUACAAGUGUCGGGCCUAUAUUGCUUGGAUUCCCGUUGAAACAUUAAAACUGUAGUUGUUCGUUGAAAGCGUGAUUCAGAUUUAAAAAUGGGGUUAUUAAAUUAAAUUAAACCUUGUUUCGUAUCGAAGCCUCGCAUUGCUACACAAUUUUACUUUUUUUUAUUAGAAAAUCAAACAAAAGGCAUGUGUUACGAUAAUAGAGGAUUGAAACGCGGCCGUAGAAACCUGCCCUUUCUAAUCUCUUCUGCUUCUUAAUAAUGUCACCAAUAUAGUCAAAAUUUGAUUUUACUAGAUAUCAAAAUAUCUACAAAAUCACCUGAAAACAUGAGUAAGUCGCACAAUUUCCAAAAACUGAAACACGUGGUUGUAGAAAUCUUUCCCUUUCUAAAUUUUCUUGCUGGUUACCAGCACGGUAUGGUGCAGGUAUUCACAAUGAUGAUUCAAAUGAUGUUUUCUAUCUUGUACUGUUAUCCGCAUUGCAAAACGAUAGCAAAAUAGUGAAACAACACGUUUCCUAGGGUGUGUGAUAGUUGCCGCGCGGUUGCAGAUGGUUUGAAAGAGCUCGUUAAUUCGCUAUCCCGCCGCGAUUUCCGGCAGCGCUCCAUGAUUCCUGCGUUCGAUCACGUCCACGCGAUAUGCCUACAUCAGCGUUCCUUUGUAAUUAAGCUA